UACAGAGGUCUCAAGCAUUGUUCGGAUUCAUUGGGCGUAAAGGGUGCGUAGGUGGCGCGGUAAGUCGGGUGUGAAAUUUCGGAGCUUAACUCCGAAACUGCAUUCGAUACUGCCGUGCUUGAGGACUGGAGAGGAGACUGGAAUUUACGGUGUAGCAGUGAAAUGCGUAGAUAUCGUAAGGAAGACCAGUGGCGAAGGCGGGAUCUCUGGACAGUUCCUGACACUGAGGCACGAAGGCCAGGGGAGCAAACGGG
rnacentral:rRNA from 1 species